rnacentral:rRNA from 1 species
AGUGAACGCUGGCGGUAGGCCUAACACAUGCAAGUCGAACGGCAGCACAGUAAGAGCUUGCUCUUACGGGUGGCGAGUGGCGGACGGGUGAGGAAUACAUCGGAAUCUACUUUUUCGUGGGGGAUAACGUAGGGAAACUUACGCUAAUACCGCAUACGACCUACGGGUGAAAGCAGGGGUUCUUCGGACUUUGCGCGAUUGAAGGAGCCGAUGUCGGAUUAGCUAGUUGGCGGGGUAAAGGCCCACCAAGGCGACGAUCCGUAGCUGGUCUGAGAGGAUGAUCAGCCACACUGGAACUGAGACACGGUCCAGACUCCUACGGGAGGCAGCAGUGGGGAAUAUUGGACAAUGGGCGCAAGCCUGAUCCAGCCAUACCGCGUGGGUGAAGAAGGCCUUCGGGUUGUAAAGCCCUUUUGUUGGGAAAGAAAAGCAGCAGGUUAAUACCCCGCUGUUCUGACGGUACCCAAAGAAUAAGCACCGGCUAACUUCGUG